UGAGCAACCUGCCUUUCANAGGGGGAUAACAGUUGGAAACGACUGCUAAUACCGCAUAACGCUGCGAUGGGGCAUCCCGAUGCAGCCAAAGGAGCAAUCCGCUGAAAGAUGGGCUCGCGGCCGAUUAGCUAGUUGGUGGGGCAACGGCCCACCAAGGCGACGAUCGGUAGCCGGACUGAGAGGUUGAUCGGCCACAUUGGGACUGAGACACGGCCCAGACUCCUACGGAAGGCAGCAG
rnacentral:rRNA from 1 species